rnacentral:rRNA from 1 species
UACGUAGGGUGCAAGCGUUGUCCGGAAUUAUUGGGCGUAAAGAGCUUGUAGGCGGUUUGUCGCGUCCGCUGUGAAAUUUCGGGGCUCAACCCCGAACUUGCAGUGGGUACGGGCAGACUAGAGUGUGGUAGGGGAGACUGGAAUUCCUGGUGUAGCGGUGAAAUGCGCAGAUAUCAGGAGGAACACCGAUGGCGAAGGCAGGUCUCUGGGCCAUAACUGACGCUGAGACGCGAAAGCGUGGGGAGCAAACAGG